CUUGUCCAGCCUGCCUGCCACAAGAAGGCUGGGUCCCCCUUCCUCUUUUGUGUCUCCUGUCCUGCUGUCAGGUAAUGCUUGCUGGAGUGGGGAACCGCCAGCUCUUGUUUCCCAGGGUGGGCACUGCUAAGAAGUCUUCUUCCUGAAUGCAUUUGGGGUCACCACUGACCUGCCUCUCCCUCUUAACUCCUGGUUUAGGGACACUUUGGCUCACCUCUUCAGGGAAUGUGGGGAUGGGGUGGGAAAAGAUGCAGCUCAGUAGCAGAUGUAAGGCACCCCGGGAGGGGUGCGCUCAGGAGAAGGCUGGGGGGGGGGCACUGAACAAGUUAUGGGUUAUAAAAUAUUUAAGAAAAAAACCAAGUACAGGUUCUUAACCAUGUGGCUUCCUCAGGGCAGAGGGUGGCCCCUCCCCAGUCAGGGCCCAGCCGAGACUGACUUUUGACCCCCCCAUCCCAGAGACCAGUCAACCAUUAACUCCUAUAUGAACCUUCCCACACUUGCCCCACCUCUGACUCCGCCCCAAAGCAGGUGGGCUAAGGGGAAACCUAUCCAUUUCAGCCCUCUAUGUGACGUGGCUUCCACUGCAUCUGAAGACUGAACUCCCUGACUCAGAAAUCUCUUAAGGUCCACAGUGAGGCCCUCCAGGGACCUGAGGUGCCAUUAGGAGUGAGGCCCUGCAUAUGUGGGGGUGAGGGGAGUAGGGCGGUGGAACAGGUUAAGAGGUGGGUCUUGGGGAUCUGAGAUACUAGUCUGGUUUCUAGACCAGACCUAAGGAGAGCUCUGGGGUCAGGAGGCUGCUCCAGAAGGCAGAAGGAAGGGGCAGAGUAAGCCUGAGGCUGCAGAGGCUGCAGAGGCUGCAGAUAGACUCAGUAAGUGGCAGAAAGUGUAACAUGAGCAUCUCCCCAGCUCCGAGCCCAGGAGCAAAAGCCCUGACCCAACCCCUCCUGCUUGUUCUAGGGUACAAUCCUCAGGAUGUCCCAAAGGAAAUAGAAGUCAGAACCAGAGCCUCUAACCCAUAGCCCUAGUGAUGGGGCCCCCCGUACAUCAUCUGUUGGCUGGCCUGUGUGUGGGGGUGGCCUUGGGCUGGGUAGAAGGCUCAGUCCCCAACCUGGGCCCAGCCGAACAGGAACAGAACCACUACCUGGCCCAGCUGUUCGGUCUAUAUGGAGAGAAUGGGACAUUGACUGCUGGGGGCCUGGCCCGGCUUCUCCACAGCCUAGGACUGGGCCGAGUUCAGGGGCUCCGCCUGGGACACCAAGAGCCUCCAACUGGGCGGGCUGCACCCAUGAGUGGCGACAAUUUCACACACAGGCUUCAGGAACUGGAGCUGAGUGUGGAUGUCUGGGCAGGAAUGCCUCUGAGCCCUUCAGGUUGGGGUGACCAGGAGGACUCAAAGGCACAUGACCUGCAUGGGUCAGGGCCCUCGGGCCUAGACCUCUUCCACAGGCUUCUGCUGCUGGACCAUUCGUUGGCUGACCAUCUGAACGAGGAUUGUCUGAAUGGUUCCCAGCUGCUGGUCAAUUUUGGGCUGAGUCCUGUUGCUCCUCUGACCCCUCGUCAGUUUGCUCUGUUGUGCCCAGCCCUGCUUUAUCAGAUUGACAGCCGUGUUUGCAUCAAAACCCCUGCUCCAGCACCUCCAGGGGAUGCACUGUCUGCCCUGCUUCAUAGUGGCCUGGCAGUCCUGUUCCUCAGCCUCCCUGCUCCCUUCUCCCUGCUGCUGCUGCGGCUCUUAGGACCUCGUCUGUUGCGGCCUGUGCUGGGCUUCCUGGGGGCCCUGGCUGUGGGCACUCUUUGUGGGGAUGCCCUGCUCCACCUGCUGCCACAUGCACAAGGAGGACGGCACACAGGACCUAGUGAGCAAGCAGAGGAGGAUCUGGGUCCAGGGCUGUCAGUGCUUGGUGGCCUCUUCCUGCUCUUCGUGUUAGAGAAUGCACUAGGACUUGUGCGGCACAGAGGGCUCAGGCCAAGGUGUGGCAGGAACAAAAGGGAUGUCGAAGAACCAAACCCUGACCCAGAGGACGGCACUGGGAUGGUCCUUCGGCCCCUACAGGCAGCUUCAGAGGUUCAGGGCCAGAGGGAAAACAGCCAGUCCCUACCAUCUCCAGCCCCUCCCGGAUACCAAGGCCACAGUCAUGAGCACCGGGGCGGUAGUAUCGCAUGGAUGGUCCUCCUGGGAGAUUGCCUGCACAACCUCACCGAUGGGCUCGCACUAGGUGCUGCCUUUUCCGACGGCUUCUCCAGUGGCCUCAGCACUACCCUAGCAGUCUUCUGCCAUGAGCUGCCCCAUGAACUGGGUGACUUUGCAAUGCUGCUUCAGGAAGGGCUGUCCUUUCGGAAGCUGCUGCUGCUGAGCCUCGUCUCUGGAGUCCUGGGGCUGGGGGGUGCAGCCCUGGGGGUGGGGCUCAGCUUGGGCCCUGUCCCCCUCACUCCCUGGGUGUUUGGGAUCACGGCUGGGGUCUUCCUCUAUGUGGCCCUUGUGGAUAUGGUGAGAUGUGGGGUAGAACAGACAACUUAAGGACAGUGGGCAGGUGGUGUGGAGAGGGACAAUCAGACUGGCCAUCUCCACUUCUUGGCCCAUGGCCCCAUCAGAAAAAAAAAUACUCAAAGGUGGGGGCUGCUGACCCUGUAUGACGGACACCCUUUCUCUCUCAUCAAGAGGACAUUGCGUGGGGCAGGCCUGGUGGUGUGCACUCUCAGUCCCAUCAUCCUGGGCAGUGAGUUUGAGCUGCCAGCCCUGCUCCGUCCUCCUGAGCCCCGGCCCCUGCCCCAUGUGCUUCUGCAGGGGCUGGGGCUGCUGCUGGGGGGCAGCCUCAUGUUUACUAUAGCCCUGUUGGAGGAACAGCUACUGCCCGUGGUUCCUG